GGGCGCAUAGCGCAGUGGUAGCGCGUAUGCUUUGCACUGUCUUAUGUAUAAGGUCGUGGGUUCAAAUCCCACUGUGUCCA